UUACGACCAUAUCACGUUGAAACACCAGUUCUCGUUCAAUCACCGAGGUUAAGCAACAUCAAGUUUGACCAGGACCUAAAUAAGUGACCACAUGGGAAUACCAGGUGCCGUAAG